rnacentral:rRNA from 1 species
GAUGAACGCUAGCUACAGGCUUAACACAUGCAAGUCGAGGGACCGGCGCACGGGUGAGUAACACGUAUCCAACCUGCCCUUUACUCGGGGAUAGCCUUUCGAAAGAAAGAUUAAUACCCGAUAUAAAGGAUGGGGAUGCGUUCCAUUAGGUUGUUGGUGAGGUAACGGCUCACCAAGCCUUCGAUGGAUAGGGGUUCUGAGAGGAAGGUCCCCGACAUUGGAAAUGGGCCCCGGACUAAACUCCUACGGAGGGGAGGGGUGAGGAAUAUUAGUCAAUGGGCGCUAGCCUGGACCUGCCGAGUAGCGUGAAGGGGGAAGGGUUAUGGGUCGUGAACUGCUUUUAUAUAAGAAUAUGUAUUAUAUGAAUAAGGAUCGGCUAACUCCGUGCCAGCAGCCGCGGUAAUAC